AGAUAGGACAUUCAUCACAUUUUCUAUGUACUUCAGUUAUAAGCAAAUCACAGAAUCUACCCAUGCUCAAGCAGAGGAGGUUGGCCAGAAAUGUCUCCAAGCACAGAGAUUAAUAUGCGAGCAAAUAAGAGAAGUUCUAAGAAGAACUAUUGAUUUUCAUUUUCCCUUUGGUUGACACAGUUUCUUCUCUCUGGUUCGGUCCUCACACCAAGGUGCAACCUUUUAAUCCAGCAUGAAUGCCCUGACUGAUGACACUAUCUGGUAUACUGCGCUUCCUCACUGUAUCUUUUUGUUUCCCACAAAGACUUUGAUUUGAUCAUUGUGAUUCUGUCCAACCCCAAAGAAAACCAAAAUAAAUGUUUGUUGAGUGCCCGAAU